rnacentral:sRNA from 1 species
CCCAGCGCUUACGCGCUGGGCUAAGUUAUUCCGCCCCUUCGGGGCU